ensembl:lncRNA
GAACUGACAACAUAUCAGAAAUUAUUAUGUAAUCUAGUGCACUAAAUAUAUAAUAGAAGUUAGCAGGUGUUAUAUUAGUGGUGAAGAAUACAUGUACAACAUUGUGUAAUGUAUUGUAGUGAAUGUGGGGACUAGUCCCUCAUCCAGCAACUGUCAACCCAACACCUUAGUCGUUACACCAAGAGAUAUGAAACCUUUGAUGAGGUUGCUAGGUGUUGGGUUAAGGUCACUACAGUAUAAACUCACUAUAGACCAGGUUAUAAGGUUGCUAGGUGUUGGGUUAAGGUCACUACAGUAUAGACCAGGUUAUGAGGUUGCUAGGUGUUGGGUUAAGGUCACUACAGUAUAAACUCAGUAUAGACCAGGUUAUGAGGUUGCUAGGUGUUGGGUUAAGGUCACUACAGUAUAAACUCAGUAUAGACCA